AUGGAAACCAGGCCUAGGAAAGGUUUGGAGAACAGGAGCCACCACCAGAAUGGAACCCAAUGGCUCCUGGUCCUGCCAGGGAAUAGCAAGGUGAGGGGGCAAGCGGAAGAGAAGGAGAAAAGCCAGAGAAAGGUAUAAGAGCAGGUGGAGGAUGGCACGGCAGACAAGAACAGAGAAGAGCAAGAAAUAAGUUUAUUUUGGAUCUGGUCCCAAGUCAUCUUUUUUCCUAAGGGCAUUAAGAAGUUUGUGGUUGACGGCUGCAGAAAUACUCGGUUUGAAGUGAAUGCUGCCCUUGUGAAGACCUGCCAUAUAGCAUCAUCUGCCUGGCAGCCACAACCAAGCUGGAUAAUGAGGAAAAGCAUGCUGAGGUUCUGGGAAGAUCAUACCCAAGAUGCCUGCCCCUGCUCUACAGAGGCCUCUGGAGGGCAGGAGAGAAAGAAGAGGAUCUAAAGAAUGAGUUCUUCCUUGAGUUGCAGCAGGAGAUGAAGAGGGGCUCUGAGCGCCAGUGUUUCCAUGGAUGUGUGGAAACUGGAGAAGCAAUACACACUUUGGGGUGAGGAGGGUUGGCAGGAGGAGGCUGAGAGGCUGAGGUUACAGAUGGAGAAGGAAAACCAACCCCUUAGGAUAUUAUAUUUAGCACAAGAAGCCCCUGAGGCAAAUGAAGAUAGUAAAGCAUGCGGUGUUCCUGAGCCUGCUGCAUGAGGCAAUCCUGGCUUGGAACUGCCCACCAGGAGUGCUGCCAGCUUCUGCGGCCUGGCAUUGACUCCCACCAGCUUUGCUCAGGCCCAGCUUCAAAGCCCACUGAAGUCAAUGGAAAGACUCCCACAGCCUCUAAUGACUCCUCCAAUCAUAUCCUGUGUCCUCCUCACAGUCCUCUUCCUUCCCGCCAUCUCCUCCAUAGCUUCCGUCCCCUACUCCUGUGCCAAGAUCACCAGUGUUGUCCUACUGCCAGGAAUGCCCCAUGCGCUCAGACCCUGAUGGUCCCUCUCUGGAAGCCGCUCUCCCUCUGGAGCCAGUUUUGGUUUAGUAGGAGCAUGGCAUGGGCACUGUGUUUAUUGAUUGAGCAAAGAGCACGGCACCGCUUUAGCAAACAUUUUAUUGGGUGCUUAAG